UGGAUCCAGACUUUGAUCAUGGCUCAGGAUGAACGCUGGCGGCGUGCCUAACACAUGCAAGUCGAACGAAGCUUGACGGAUGAUUCCUUCGGAAUGAAACCAGAUAUGACUUAGUGGCGGACGGGUGAGUAACACGUGAGCAACCUGCCUUUCAGAGGGGGAUAACGGCUGGAAACGGUCGCUAAUACCGCAUGAUGUGUUCGGAUGGCAUCAUCUGAACAUCAAAGAUUUAUCGCUGAAAGAUGGGCUCGCGUCUGAUUAGAUAGUUGGUGGGGUAACGGCCUACCAAGUCUACGAUCAGUAGCCGGACUGAGAGGUUGAACGGCCACAUUGGGACUGAGAUACGGCCCAGACUCCUACGGGAGGCAGCAGUGGGGAAUAUUGCACAAUGGGGGAAACCCUGAUGCAGCAACGCCGCGUGAAGGAUGACGGUUUUCGGAUUGUAAACUUCUUUUCUUAGUGACGAAGACAGUGACGGUAGCUAAGGAAUAAGCAUCGGCUAACUACGUGCCAGCAGCCGCGGUAAUACGUAGGAUGCAAGCGUUAUCCGGAUUUACUGGGUGUAAAGGGAGCGCAGGCGGGACUGCAAGUUGGAUGUGAAAUACCGUGGCUUAACCACGGAACUGCAUCCAAAACUGUAGUUCUUGAGUGAAGUAGAGGCAAGCGGAAAUCCGAGUGUAGCGGUGAAAUGCGUAGAUAUUCGGAGGAACACCAGUGGCGAAGGCGGCUUGCUGGGCUUUAACUGACGCUGAGGCUCGAAAGUGUGGGGAGCAAACAGGAUUAGAUACCCUGGUAGUCCACACUGUAAACGAUGAUAGCUAGGUGUGGGGGGGUCUGACCCCUUCCGUGCCGGAGUUAACGCAAUAAGCUAUCCACCUGGGGAGUACGACCGCAAGGUUGCAACUCAAAGGAAUUGACGGA
rnacentral:rRNA from 1 species